rnacentral:rRNA from 1 species
CACGUAGGGCGCAAGCGUUGUCCGGAAUUAUUGGGCGUAAAGAGCUCGUAGGCGGUCUGUUGCGUCCGCUGUGAAAACUCGGGGCUUAACCCCGAGCCUGCAGUGGGUACGGGCAGACUAGAGUGCGGUAGGGGAGACUGGAAUUCCUGGUGUAGCGGUGAAAUGCGCAGAUAUCAGGAGGAACACCAAUAGCGAAGGCGGCUCACUGGUCCGGUACUGACGCUGAGGUGCGAAAGCGUGGGGAGCAAACAGG